rnacentral:rRNA from 1 species
CCUACGGGGGGCAGCAGUGGGGGAUAUUGCACAAUGGGGGGAACCCUGAUGCAGCGACGCCGCGUGGGUGAAGAAGCGCCUCGGCGCGUAAAGCCCUGUCAGCAGGGAAGAAAAUGACGGUACCUGAAGAAGAAGCCCCGGCUAACUACGUGCCAGCAGCCGCGGUAAGACGUAGGGGGCAAGCGUUAUCCGGAUUUACUGGGGGUAAAGGGGGCGCAGACGGCGAUGCAAGCCAGGAGGGAAAGCCCGGGGACCAACCCCGGGACUGCUCUUGGAACUGCGUGGCUGGAGUGCAGGAGGGGCAGGCGGAAGUCCUGGUGUAGCGGUGAAAUGCGUAGAUAUCAGGAGGAACACCGGUGGCGAAGGCGGCCUGCUGGACUGCAACUGACGUUGAGGCCCGAAAGCGUGGGGAGCAAACAGGAUUAGAUACCCCGGUAGUC